UACGGAGGGGGCUAGCGUUGUUCGGAAUUACUGGGCGUAAAGCGUACGUAGGCGGCUUUGUAAGUUAGAGGUGAAAGCCCGGGGCUCAACCCCGGAAUUGCCUUUAAGACUGCAUCGCUUUGAAUCAUGGAGAGGUGAGUGGAAUUCCGAGUGUAGAGGUGAAAAUUCGUAGAUAUUCGGAAGAACACCAGUGGCGAAGGCGACUCACUGGACAUG
rnacentral:rRNA from 1 species